rnacentral:rRNA from 1 species
UAACACGGGGGGAGCAAGCGUUGUUCGGAUUCAUUGGGCGUAAAGAGCUCGUAGGUGGCUCUGUAAGUCGGAUGUGAAAGACCACGGCUCAACCGUGGAAACGCAUUCGAAACUGUGGAGCUUGAGGCUGGGAGAGGAAAUCGGAAUUCCUGGUGUAGCGGUGAAAUGCGUAGAUAUCAGGAGGAACACCGGUGGCGAAGGCGGAUUUCUGGACCAGUUCUGACACUGAGGAGCGAAAGCUAGGGGAGCAAACAGGAUUAGAUACCCUGGUAGUCCUAGCUGUAAACGAUGGGCACUAGGUGUGGGGGGAUCGACCCCUUCCGUGCCGCAGUUAACGCAUUAAGUGCCCCGCCUGGGGAGUACGACCGCAAGGUUG